rnacentral:rRNA from 1 species
AGUGAACGCUGGCGGCGUGCUUAACACAUGCAAGUCGAACGAGAACGGAUUAUAGCUUGCUAUAAUUGUCAGCUAAGUGGCGCACGGGUGAGUAAUGUAUAGGUAAUAUGCCUCUUACUAAGGGAUAACAAUUGGAAACGAUUGCUAAUACCUUAUAUUCCUUUUUAUCAAAAGAUAAAAAGGGAAAGAUUUAUUGGUAAGAGAUUAGCCUGUAUUGUAUCAGUUAGUUGGUGGGGUAAUGGCCUACCAAGACGAUGACGCAUAACUGGUUUGAGAGGAAGGUCAGUCACAAUUGAACUGAAGAACGGUCCAGACUUCUACGGGAGGCAGCAGUGGGGAAUAUUGCACAAUUGAAGAAAGGCUGAUGCAGCAACGCCGCGUGGAGGAUUACACAUUUCGGUGCGUAAACUCCUUUUAUAUAAGAAGAUAAUGACGGUAUUAUAUGAAUAAGCACCGGCUAACUCCGUGCCAGCCGCCGCCGUAACAC